rfam:Takifugu rubripes chromosome, Chr_2
GCCCAAAUACCUCAGAUGGGAGAGCGUUAGACUGAAGAUCUAAAGGUCCCUGGUUUGAUCCCGGGGUUCGGCA